GGGUUGUGAGGUUAAGCGACUAAGCGUACACGGUGGAUGCCCUGGCAGUCAGAGGCGAUGAAGGACGUGCUAAUCUGCGAUAAGCGUCGGUAAGGUGAUAUGAACCGUUAUAACCGGCGAUUUCCGAAUGGGGAAACCCAGUGUGAUUCGUCACACUAUCAUUAACUGAAUCCAUAGGUUAAUGAGGCGAACCGGGGGAACUGAAACAUCUAAGUACCCCGAGGAAAAGAAAUCAACCGAGAUUCCCCCAGUAGCGGCGAGCGAACGGGGAGCAGCCCAGAGCCUGAAUCAGUGUGUGUGUUAGUGGAAGCGUCUGGAAAGGCGUGCGAUACAGGGUGACAGCCCCGUACACAAAAAUGCACAUGCUGUGAGCUCGAUGAGUAGGGCGGGACACGUGGUAUCCUGUCUGAAUAUGGGGGGACCAUCCUCCAAGGCUAAAUACUCCUGACUGACCGAUAGUGAACCAGUACCGUGAGGGAAAGGCGAAAAGAACCCCGGCGAGGGGAGUGAAAAAGAACCUGAAACCGUGUACGUACAAGCAGUGGGAGCACGCUUAGGCGUGUGACUGCGUACCUUUUGUAUAAUGGGUCAGCGACUUAUAUUCUGUAGCAAGGUUAACCGAAUAGGGGAGCCGAAGGGAAACCGAGUCUUAACUGGGCGUUAAGUUGCAGGGUAUAGACCCGAAACCCGGUGAUCUAGCCAUGGGCAGGUUGAAGGUUGGGUAACACUAACUGGAGGACCGAACCGACUAAUGUUGAAAAAUUAGCGGAUGACUUGUGGCUGGGGGUGAAAGGCCAAUCAAACCGGGAGAUAGCUGGUUCUCCCCGAAAGCUAUUUAGGUAGCGCCUCGUGAAUUCAUCUCCGGGGGUAGAGCACUGUUUCGGCAAGGGGGUCAUCCCGACUUACCAACCCGAUGCAAACUGCGAAUACCGGAGAAUGUUAUCACGGGAGACACACGGCGGGUGCUAACGUCCGUCGUGAAGAGGGAAACAACCCAGACCGCCAGCUAAGGUCCCAAAGUCAUGGUUAAGUGGGAAACGAUGUGGGAAGGCCCAGACAGCCAGGAUGUUGGCUUAGAAGCAGCCAUCAUUUAAAGAAAGCGUAAUAGCUCACUGGUCGAGUCGGCCUGCGCGGAAGAUGUAACGGGGCUAAACCAUGCACCGAAGCUGCGGCAGCGACGCUUAUGCGUUGUUGGGUAGGGGAGCGUUCUGUAAGCCUGCGAAGGUGUGCUGUGAGGCAUGCUGGAGGUAUCAGAAGUGCGAAUGCUGACAUAAGUAACGAUAAAGCGGGUGAAAAGCCCGCUCGCCGGAAGACCAAGGGUUCCUGUCCAACGUUAAUCGGGGCAGGGUGAGUCGACCCCUAAGGCGAGGCCGAAAGGCGUAGUCGAUGGGAAACAGGUUAAUAUUCCUGUACUUGGUGUUACUGCGAAGGGGGGACGGAGAAGGCUAUGUUGGCCGGGCGACGGUUGUCCCGGUUUAAGCGUGUAGGCUGGUUUUCCAGGCAAAUCCGGAAAAUCAAGGCUGAGGCGUGAUGACGAGGCACUACGGUGCUGAAGCAACAAAUGCCCUGCUUCCAGGAAAAGCCUCUAAGCAUCAGGUAACAUCAAAUCGUACCCCAAACCGACACAGGUGGUCAGGUAGAGAAUACCAAGGCGCUUGAGAGAACUCGGGUGAAGGAACUAGGCAAAAUGGUGCCGUAACUUCGGGAGAAGGCACGCUGAUAUGUAGGUGAAGUCCCUCGCGGAUGGAGCUGAAAUCAGUCGAAGAUACCAGCUGGCUGCAACUGUUUAUUAAAAACACAGCACUGUGCAAACACGAAAGUGGACGUAUACGGUGUGACGCCUGCCCGGUGCCGGAAGGUUAAUUGAUGGGGUUAGCGCAAGCGAAGCUCUUGAUCGAAGCCCCGGUAAACGGCGGCCGUAACUAUAACGGUCCUAAGGUAGCGAAAUUCCUUGUCGGGUAAGUUCCGACCUGCACGAAUGGCGUAAUGAUGGCCAGGCUGUCUCCACCCGAGACUCAGUGAAAUUGAACUCGCUGUGAAGAUGCAGUGUACCCGCGGCAAGACGGAAAGACCCCGUGAACCUUUACUAUAGCUUGACACUGAACAUUGAGCCUUGAUGUGUAGGAUAGGUGGGAGGCUUUGAAGUGUGGACGCCAGUCUGCAUGGAGCCGACCUUGAAAUACCACCCUUUAAUGUUUGAUGUUCUAACGUUGACCCGUAAUCCGGGUUGCGGACAGUGUCUGGUGGGUAGUUUGACUGGGGCGGUCUCCUCCUAAAGAGUAACGGAGGAGCACGAAGGUUGGCUAAUCCUGGUCGGACAUCAGGAGGUUAGUGCAAUGGCAUAAGCCAGCUUGACUGCGAGCGUGACGGCGCGAGCAGGUGCGAAAGCAGGUCAUAGUGAUCCGGUGGUUCUGAAUGGAAGGGCCAUCGCUCAACGGAUAAAAGGUACUCCGGGGAUAACAGGCUGAUACCGCCCAAGAGUUCAUAUCGACGGCGGUGUUUGGCACCUCGAUGUCGGCUCAUCACAUCCUGGGGCUGAAGUAGGUCCCAAGGGUAUGGCUGUUCGCCAUUUAAAGUGGUACGCGAGCUGGGUUUAGAACGUCGUGAGACAGUUCGGUCCCUAUCUGCCGUGGGCGCUGGAGAACUGAGGGGGGCUGCUCCUAGUACGAGAGGACCGGAGUGGACGCAUCACUGGUGUUCGGGUUGUCAUGCCAAUGGCACUGCCCGGUAGCUAAAUGCGGAAGAGAUAAGUGCUGAAAGCAUCUAAGCACGAAACUUGCCCCGAGAUGAGUUCUCCCUAACUCCUUGAGAGUCCUGAAGGAACGUUGAAGACGACGACGUUGAUAGGCCGGGUGUGUAAGCGCAGCGAUGCGUUGAGCUAACCGGUACUAAUGAACCGUGAGGCUUAACCUUACAACGCCGAAGCUGUU
rnacentral:rRNA from 1 species